UAAGGAAUAUUGCUCAAUGGGAGAAAUCCUGAAGCAGCAACGCCGCGUGGAGGAUGAAGGGUCUAUGACUUGUAAACUCCUGUAAAGAAGGAAAAAAUUCCCAUUUGAUGGGAGAUGAUGGUACUUCUGGAGUAAGCCCCGGCUAACUACGUGCCAGCAGCCGCGGUAAUACGUAGGGGGCAAGCGUUGUCCGGAUUUACUGGGUGUAAAGGGUGCUCAGGCGGAUUUGUAAGUCAGAGGUGAAAUCUUACAGCUUAACUGUGAAACUGCCUUGGAUACUGCAAGCCUAGAGUAUGGAAGAGNGUGAUGGAAUAUCUGGUGUAGCAGUGAACUGCGUAGAUAUCAGAUAGAACACCAAUGGCGAAGGCAGUCACUUGGUCCAUUACUGACGCUAAAGCACGAAAGCGUGGGUAGCAAACA
rnacentral:rRNA from 1 species